rnacentral:tRNA from 1 species
GAGGAUAUAGCUCAAGUGGUAGAGCGCAUGCUUAGCAUGCACAAGGUCUUGGGUUCAAUCCCAGUACCUCU